AGCUGUAUAGUUUAAAAUAAAAUUUUUAUCUGUGGAGUAAAAGAUGGUUAUGGCUU
rnacentral:tRNA from 1 species